rnacentral:rRNA from 1 species
AUUGAACGCUGGCGGCAUGCCUUACACAUGCAAGUCGAACGGCAGCACGGGAGCAAUCCUGGUGGCGAGUGGCGAACGGGUGAGUAAAGUAUCGGAACGUGCCCAGUCGUGGGGGAUAACGUAGCGAAAGUUACGCUAAUACCGCAUACGAUCUAUGGAUGAAAGCGGGGGAUCGCAAGACCUCGCGCGAUUGGAGCGGCCGAUAUCAGAUUAGCUAGUUGGUGGGGUAAAGGCUCACCAAGCCGACGAUCUGUAGCUGGUCUGAGAGGACGACCAGCCACGCUGGGACUGAAACACGACCCAGACUCCUACGGGAGGCAGCAGUGGGAAAUUUUGGACAAUGGGCGCAAGCCUGAGCCAGCCAUGCCGCGUGCAGGAUGAAGGCCUUCGGGUUGUAAACUGCUUUUGUACGGAACGAAAAGGUUUGACUUAAUACGUUGGACUCAUGACGGUACCGUAAGAAUAAGCACCGGCUAACUACGUGCCAGCAGCCGCAGUAA